rnacentral:rRNA from 1 species
AGCAGCCGCGGUAAUUCCAGCUCCAAUAGCGUAUAUUAAAGUUGUUGCAGUUAAAAAGCUCGUAGUUGAAUUUCGGGAUCAAUAUGUCGGUCGUGCUCUUUGGUACGUACUGGCGUCAUUGUUCCCUCCUUUCUGACGAACCAUGAUGUCAUUCAUUUGGUGUUAUGGGGAGUUAGGACUGUUACUUUGAAAAAUUAGAGUGUUUAAAGCAGGCAUUAGCUUGAAUACAUUAGCAUGGAAUAAUGAAAUAGGACGUUCGAUCCUAUUUUGUUGGUUUCUAGGAUCAACGUAAUGAUUAAUAGGGAUAGUUGGGGGCAUUAGUAUUCAAUUGUCAGAGGUGAAAUUCUUGGAUUUAUUGAAGACUAACUACUGCGAAAGCAUUUGCCAAGGAUGUUUUCAUUAAUCAAGAACGAAAGUUAGGGGAUCGAAGACGAUCAGAUACCGUCGUAG